rnacentral:rRNA from 1 species
GUGUAAGCUACUAAGAGCGCACGGUGGAUGCCUUGGUGUCAAAUGCUGAUGAAGGACGUGGUACACUGCGAUAAGCCUCGGGGAGUCGUGUGCAGACGCUAUAUCCGAGGAUGUCCGAAUGGGGAAACCCACCAGGGGUCGAUGCCCUGGUACUGUUAUCUGAACACAUAGGGUAACAGGGGGAACGGGGUGAACUGAAACAUCUUAGUAACCCUAGGAAAAGAGAUCAUUCCCUGAGUAGUGGCGAGCGAAAGGGGAUUAGCCCAAACCGUUGUCUUUAUGGCAGCGGGGUUGUAGGACUUGCAUAUGAAAGUGAUAAAUUUGUCUGGCAGUAAAACUUUUCUGGAAAGUUAGACCACAGAAGGUGACAGUCCUGUAUACGAAACCAGAUAAACUUUCGCAAUGUUCCUGAGUACGGCGGGGCACGCUAACCCUGUCGGAAUCUGGGAGGCCCACCUCCCAAGGCUAAAUACAUUUGACAACCGAUAGUGAACAAGUACUGUGAAGGAAAGGUGAAAAGACCCCCGGUAAGGGGAGUGAAAUAGAACCUGAAACCGUGUGCUUACAACCGGUCGGAGCACUAUGGGCGAUGCUUGCAUCGUCAACGUGUGACGGCGUGCCUUUUGGAGAAUGAGCCAGCGAGUUAAUUUCAGUGGCAAGGUUAAGUCAGAAACAGACGGAGCCGCAGCGAAAGCGAGUCUGAAUAGGGCAAUAGAGUCGCUGGAAUUAGACACGAAACCAAGUGAGCUACCCAUGUGCAGGCUGAAGCGAGAUUAAUCUCUCGUGGAGGGCCGAACCCACUAAUGUUGCAAAAUUAGGGGAUGACGUGUGGGUAGGGGUGAUAUGCCAAACGAACUUGGAGAUAGCUUGUUCUCUCCGAAAUAGCUUUAGGGCUAGCGUCGCGUGUUUAGUACAGGGGGUAGAGCACUGGAUGAGCAAGGGGGCGCAAGCUUACCAACCUCAACCAAACUCCGAAUACCUGUAUUCUAUAGCGCGGCAGUCGGACUAUGUGAGAUGAGUUUCAUAGUCGAGAGGGAAACAACCCAGACCGACGGCUAAGGUCCUCAAAUCUAUGCUAAGUGGGAAACGUUGUGAGAGUGUUUUGACAGCCAGGAGGUUGGCUUAGAAGCAGCCACCCUUUAAAGAGUGCGUAAUAGCUCACUGGUCAAACGCUUUUGCGCGGAAAAUGUAACGGGGCUAAAGCAUAGUACCGAAGCCACGGAUUGGCAGUUCUUUGAACUGCUGAUGGUAGGAGAGCGUUCUGUAAGAGAUACAAGGGUAACCGAGAGGAUAUCUGCGGCUUACAGAAGUGAGAAUGCUGGCAUGAGUAGCGUAAAACAUGUGAGAAACAUGUUCCCCGUAAACCUAAGGUUUCCGACGGAAGGUUAAUCCGCGUCGGGUUAGUCGGUCCUUAGCCGAGGCCGAAAGGCGUAGGUGAUGGAUAUCCGGUUAAUAUUCCGGAACCACUUAUUUGGAGUGAUGGAGGGACGCAGUUUGGUAGGUCAGCCCCUUAUUGGAUUGGGGUGCUAAACGUCUAGGAUAAAGACGGGUAUAGGCAAAUCCGUACCCUGAAUCUGAAACGUGAUGGCGGGCCAAUAGAGCCAGAAGUGAUUGAGCCAAGCUGCCAAGAAAAUCUUCUAAACGUUGAUAUUUAAGUGACCGUACCGCAAACCGACACUGGUAGGUGGGUAGAGUAUACCAAGGGGAUCGAGAGAACCUUCGUUAAGGAAUUCGGCAAAAUUCCCCCGUAACUUCGGGAGAAGGGGGGCCUUUGUUGGUUAGCAAUUAAGCGAAGCUGACGAAGGCCGCAGAGAAAUGGCUUCUUCAACUGUUUAACAAAAACACAGGUCUCUGCUAAGUCGAAAGACGAUGUAUAGGGGCUGACGCCUGCCCAGUGCUGGAAGGUUAAGGGGAGAGGUUAGCCGUAAGGCAAAGCUUUGAACCGAAGCCCCAGUGAACGGCGGCCGUAACUAUAACGGUCCUAAGGUAGCGAAAUUCCUUGUCGGGUAAGUUCCGACCCGCAC